rnacentral:rRNA from 1 species
AAAAACUUAGUCUCAGUUCAGAUUGCAGGCUGAAACUCGCCUGCAUGAAGUCGGAAUUGCUAGUAAUCGCAGAUCAGCAUGCUGCGGUGAAUACGUUCCCGGGCCUUGUACACACCGCCCGUCACACCAUGGGAGUCGGUAACACCCGAAGUCGGUAGCCUAACCGUAAGGAGGGCGCCGCCGAAGGUGGGAUUGAUGACUGGGGUGAAGUCGUAACAAGGUACC